CGAGGGCUGGCUGGGGACAAGGGAGACGAGGGUUUCUUGGGAGACCCUGGAGCAGCUGGGGACAAAGGAGAGAAGGGAGUGAAGGGCGUGAAGGGAGAGAACGGGCUGCCAGGUCCUGCAGGGCUCC